rnacentral:lncRNA from 1 species
CUUACAACAUCAUCCUUCUUUAAUAAUCGUACCAAGAUAUCCCUUGUGAUAUUGCACAUUUGCCCAAGAUAUCCCUUGUGAUAUUACACAUUUGUCCAGGAUAACCACCAGGAAAAUUGCACAUAGUGUAGGUUUGCCAGCGACACACAUUGUCAUCCAUUCAUUACAAUGCCCAAUGUCUCCUUGCAACAACCAAGACAACCAGAAAAGAAUGCAUUGUGUUCCACAUCAUUUCACU